CCACAGCCAGGCCUGGACCCCGGGAGGCUGACCCUCUGACAACCUGCCCUCCUUGGGCCAGAGAGAAAACACCUAGGGAUCUGCUCAAGGGAGGGAGAUGUGCCCUGCGUGGCAGAACUCUCUUCUUUCCCUUCUGAGUUCAGCCAGCCCUUGCCGGAGACCUCUGGCUUUGUCCGUUUAGCCGCUGCUGUUCCAGAGCACCACAGGCCAGUGGUGCGUAAUCAGGAAACAUUCAUUUCUACAGCCCCUGCAGCUGGGAAGCCCAAGUUCAAGGAUUGCUCAGUUUCUUGUGAGGGCCGACCUUCUGGCUCACAGAUGGCCACCUAAUUGGCUGUCCUUACCUGGCAGAGGAGGUAAGGGAGCUCCCUGGGUGUCUUUUAUAAGGACACUAAUCCUGUUCACAAGGGCUCCACCCUCAUGAGCUAAUCACUUCCUCAAGCCAACCCCCACCUGAUGCCACCAAAUUGAAGGUCAGGAAAUCAACGUGGGAAUUUUAGGGGGACAGAUUCAGUCCAUAACACCUGCUCUUUACUGCAGUUCCAGGCUCUGGGAUAAAAAAAGGACUGCCCUUCCCUUUCAGAAUCUGUAGGCCACGCGGACAACGCACAAUUAUGUACAGCAGGUCGGGGGUCCUAACUGGGAAAGUGUGACAUAUUAGAAGAGAAUCACUCCUUGUGUCUCCCUCUCCCUUUCUCUGUUAUACACAUCUCAGCAAACUGCAGGGUUUCCACAAGGAAGCCAAGAGUGGGAAUAACAUGGUUCUAGCCGUAAAUCUACUGGCAACUUUUAGCAAAAGGUUUUCUUGAAGGGCGAGGAGCAUGCCCGCUCCCCGAGGCCUGGUACACCAGGUCCAGAAAGCUUUCAAAAGCUUGCUUUUGUUUUGUUUUGGCAAUCUGGGGAAGCCGUGACACCUUUUUAGAAUAAUGCUUUUACAGGGCAUAUGAGAAGCAUGCUCAGGAUCCGGAAGGAACCAGCCAUGUCCGGCCCUGACCUACGGAGAGAGGAGGACCUGGAGGCCUAGGGGAUAAUGGGGAGAUAUUUUGCAGAAAAGGAGAAAGUCUUCCCUGAGAUGGAUUCCAUACUUAGGAAAUCUGUGAGAGGCCGGGGCGGAGGCUUUCCUCCCAGGUAAGUGUAGGUGACUCCGUAAACGCCUAUCCUUGGUGAGCUCGUGGUUACUGUUUCUUUUCUCCCCAAAACUGUGUCCCAACUUCCAGAAAAUAGACACACUGAUCCUUAAAUCAUCCCUCUUUGUUUCCCUUGUUCUCUGAGACAAGAGUGAUAACAGUGGACAUUGUGGGAAGCAAAGUGUUAAAGACUGGCUUUUCUGGGGAAGGGAGAGCAAGUCCUGGACUGAAUGAUCAGAGGUUUCUUCAGAAGCCUGUGGGGUCACUGUGGGACUUUGAACCUCAGAUGGGAGUUCACCAGAGUAUAGCCAAGGAGGAUGGGUGAUCCGGGACUGCAGCUGAGGAGAGGUCAGAGGUUCAGGGAGGACGCAUGACACACUCUGGGGGCAGCAGCAGCGGCCGGGAGCCUGUGAGAUCAGACACCAGCUCUUCUCCCCGCAGCUACUUUGCUUAUAUCCCCUUGCUCAUUACCCCCUAGGACCUGCAGUCCCCAGUUUACUAGUGAGACAAGGGACACUAAGCAUAGUUAACCCAAGUUCAUCCAGCUGGAGGCCGUAGAGCUACGAUCUUAUUCCACAGAACCUGGGCUCCCAGGUCCUUGUGCUGUUUUAUCCCAUGCCACAUGCCUACUUGGCCUGGGUGCCCAUUUUAUGUCCUUUUUAAAAAGCCUGAGGAUUUCUGGUGAGUUUCUGAACCUCAGGAUUCUCGUCUGUAAAACGGGGAUAAUAUUUAUCACCUUCUCCACAAACAUUCUGUUCUUUAAAAAAAAAAUUCUGAAACUUUUACAAAGGGGACUUGGGGAGGCAGAUUAGAGGUACCCAUACCCGCCUGCUUCUCCGUGAGUUAGAACCAAAACAUCUGGAGAACUGAUGCCUAUGGAGCGGGUGACUGAGAGGAUGCAAGAGUUCAGCAGCAGCCAGAGACUUGGGGAAACGCAGAGGCUUUGGAUAGUGGGGUCUAUGUGGCACAGAGCACCCCAGCACUGCUCACCGCAGAGGACGACGUAGAGGUGAAAGAGGGGGAGACCCAGGAGCACCAGUCACACAGGAAUUCACACCUUGCAGAAAUACAGCCUGAGCAGACGUCCACCCGCCUGCGUGUAGGCAACUGGCUCUGGGGCGGUUCUCUGCACUUCCCCACUGUGUUCCAGGUGCUGUACCAGGGGCCAUCUCCCAAGGUCAGGCCGAGCCUCCUCCCCGGGAGUCAAAGGCCCUUGCAUGUUCCUCUCUGGUCCCUGGAGCCGUAUUCCUGUGCUGAUCCGGGGAGGCUGCCUCGAGAGUCAGUGUGGUCCCGCGGCUUCCACCAACCUGCCAAGGGGACAGACAGCCACGCGGAAGGGAGUGGAGGUGCUCCCCCUUAAACCGGGGUUCCCAAGGCCAGCGGGAGGCACAGCUCAGAGUCCUGGGGGGUGGAGAGCCGGGCUGCGGCCACCCCAGCACAGACAGCGGCCUCUCCCCAGCCUCUCCUCACCCUGGGAGCGCAGCACAGGAAGUGCAGAAGGCACCUGUGCCAGGCACGUCCGCACCCCAUGACAGCUUGGUGACACGCUGCCUCAGUCGGCAACUGCCCGGCUGUGUCCGUGCGCAGCCCCGGAACCCAGAGUCGGGGUGUGCGGAUGCCACCUCCUCGCAGCUGAGAGGGUCCCUGCCGACUCCAGCACCAACCAGUCCUGUGGCCCCCGGGGGAAGCACCCCCAAGGAAAGAAGGGGUGACACGAGGCAGCUCUGAGGGGCCCCUCCUGCCGCACAGCAAGCGCCAAAGGGAGAGGGACUCUUCUAAUUAUUAGGGCUUCUUAUUGCUGGGUUUGGUUUGCAUAUACUUUUCUUAGUUUGCUUUCUAAUAUUUAUUAUAUUAUUUUUGCUUUUCAUCUUUUACCCUUCUUCUGCUUGUCCCCUUUUGUC
rnacentral:lncRNA from 1 species